GCGAGCGUAGCUCAGCGGCAGAGCGCUGCGUUGCCAACGCGGAGGUCAUGGGUUCGAAUCCCAUCGCUCGCU
rnacentral:tRNA from 1 species